rnacentral:rRNA from 1 species
UACGUAGGGUGCAAGCGUUAAUCGGAAUUACUGGGCGUAAAGCGUGCGCAGGCGGUGAUGUAAGACAGGUGUGAAAUCCCCGGGCUUAACCUGGGAACUGCAUUUGUGACUGCAUCGCUCGAGUAUGGCAGAGGGGGGUAGAAUUCCACGUGUAGCAGUGAAAUGCGUAGAGAUGUGGAGGAAUACCGAUGGCGAAGGCAGCCCCCUGGGUCAAUACUGACGCUCAUGCACGAAAGCGUGGGGAGCAAACAGG